rnacentral:lncRNA from 1 species
GUUGUCCUCGAUCUUCUUCAUUGCAGACUCAGUGGUAAGCGGGUACUUGAGGAUCUGAUAUUGAUCGAGCUUGUUCCUCCCAGGGGUGCUGAUCCUGGGGUACUUGGGGUCCCUGGCCUUGGACAGGGUCUUGGGGCGGUGAAAUGUCACAGAAGUGCGGAUCUUCUUUGCCGUCUUCUUGAUUGACCCAGACUUCACAGCCUUGGCAACCUUGGCGGCCUGGGCC